rnacentral:tRNA from 1 species
GCGAAGGUGGCGGAAUUGGUAGACGCGCUAGCUUCAGGUGUUAGUGUCCUUA